UACAGAGGUCCCAAGCGUUGUUCGGAUUCACUGGGCGUAAAGGGUGCGUAGGCGGUCGGGUAAGUCUGACGUGAAAUCUCCGGGCCUAACCCGGAAACUGCGUUGGAAACUGCCUGGCUAGAGGAAUGGAGGGGAGACUGGAAUACUUGGUGUAGCAGUGAAAUGCGUAGAUAUCAAGUGGAACACCAGUGGCGAAGGCGAGUCUCUGGACGACUCCUGACACUGAGGCACGAAAGCUAGGGGAGCAAACAGG
rnacentral:rRNA from 1 species